GUUUUGCAAUUACACAGAAGGUUCCUAAUCAGAUUUCUUUUUCAUUACACGCAGUGAAUAUUUCUACUUAUGAUCAGACUGUUUUUAUCAUCUCACUUCUCUUUGGAUCGAUGGUUCAGGAAAAGUCCAAGAUAGUGGCAGCGUAACAAUAGAUGAAUUCAAAAAGGCAACCCCAGCUCUCGAGAGGAAGAAAAUAUUCAGCUGCAGACGUAAAAUCUCGUGGUGCAUUUUCUGUGUAGUAAACAAGUCCCCGAUGUCUAAAUAUCAAACCAUAAAUGUUAUGUGAUUGGUAUCUGAGAAGUUUUAUAUUCCUUCUCCACUUCCAAUAUAAAUAAAAGUUUGUGUGAUCAAGA